CGGCGGACGGGUGAGUAAAAGGUAGGAGACCUACCUCAUACAGGGGGAUAGCAUAGAGAAAUCUGUGGUAAUACCCCAUGAGGUUAUAUGAAUAGAGGCAUAUAAUCAAAGUAUACGAGAGUAUGCGGUAUGAGAUGGGCCUACUGACCAUUAGCUAGUUGGUGAGGUAAGGGCUCACCAAGGCGAAGAUGGUUAGGGGUUUUGAGAGAGAGAUCCCCCACAUUGGAACUGAGAUACGGUCCAGACUCCUACGGGAGGCAGCAGUAGGGAAUAUUGGGCAAUGGGCGGAAGCCUGACCCAGCCAUGCCGCGUGAAGGAAGACGGCCUUAUGGGUUGUAAACUUCUUUACUAUACGAAUAGAGGUUAGUACGAGAUACUAAUAGGAAGGUAGUAUAGCAAAAAGCACCGGCUAACUCCGUGCCAGCAGCCGCGGUAAUACGGAGGGUGCAAGCGUUAUUCGGAAUUACUGGGUUUAAA
rnacentral:rRNA from 1 species